rnacentral:lncRNA from 1 species
GGCUUACUGGAUCCAGGUGUGAAGCUGGGAUUUCAGCAGCAUGAGCUGAUGAGAAGCAGAGAAGCCUGAGUAAAUGGCUAAGAAAACAGGCAACAGAGUCCUACCCACUCGGGCAUUAAUAGAAGAGGCCAACAAAACCCAGAGAAUAUUGGAAAGAAAGUCGAAGGAUUGGAAAGACACAGCAGCCAUCCACUUCCGGCAAACAAAAUCACCUCCCAAGUAUAUUACCUGCACACCCAUCCUUGUCUCAGAGACUGCUCUUGGGAUGUUGAGGGGGCCAACUUCAGCAGUAGCUUUUUAUAUGUGAG